rnacentral:rRNA from 1 species
UGGGGAAUAUUGCACAAUGGGCGAAAGCCUGAUGCAGCAACGCCGCGUGAGUGAUGAAGGUCUUCGGAUUGUAAAGCUCUGUCUUUUGGGACGAUAAUGACGGUACCGAAGGAGGAAGCCACGGCUAACUACGUGCCAGCAGCCGCGGUAAUACGUAGGUGGCGAGCGUUGUCCGGAUUUACUGGGCGUAAAGGGUGCGUAGGCGGAUGUUUAAGUGAGAUGUGAAAUACCCGGGCUUAACUUGGGUGCUGCAUUUCAAACUGGAUAUCUAGAGUGCAGGAGAGGAGAAUGGAAUUCCUAGUGUAGCGGUGAAAUGCGUAGAGAUUAGGAAGAACACCAGUGGCGAAGGCGAUUCUCUGGACUGUAACUGACGCUGAGGCACGAAAGCGUGGGUAGCAAACAGGAUUAGAUACCCUGGUAGUCCACGCCGUAAACGAUGAGUACUAGGUGUAGGAGGUAUCGACCCCUUCUGUGCCGCAGUAAACACAUUAAGUACUCCGCCUGGGAAGUACGAUCGCAAGAUUAAAAC